UUUAAAUAGUUUAUAAAAAUAUUAGUUUGUGGGACUAAAGAUGUAUUAGUACUUUAAAUUG
rnacentral:tRNA from 1 species